rnacentral:snoRNA from 1 species
UAGCAAAUUAAGAUGCACAACUAGAUUCCUUUCCUCAUGGGGACCUGGUGUGCAACGACUGUGAAUAUCAGCAUCCUUAGUAGUAUAUGCAGCCCGUUGCUUGCAUAUAUAUAAAUAUAAAU